CCCCCCGUCUCUGGCCCAGCCUGGGGGGACCCCGCGGGUCGGAGACGGUGGAACGAUGUGGGGUGAAUCCAGGCGGCGGGGCCCGGCAGGUUGGCGUGACCGUGUUUCCCGGCAGCAGAGCUGGGCAAGUGAGAGGUCCCCCCGAGAUGUGUGUCCGGGUCCCGCUCCUGGAGGAGCGCUUCGCCGCUGGCAGUAAUGGGACGUGCUGGACUCGGGUUGUGAAAACACCCCAGGUUUCGGACUAGGGGGAUUAUGGGUCCGAUCUCCGGGAGGAACCACGCGUCUACACCUGCUUUCUGCAAACCCAGUCCGCUUAGCGCCCGCUCCUCACCUGUGAGCAGGGCUCAACCAAAACGCUGAAUCCAACCCAACCCAGCUUCAGAGACAUUUGGAUUCUGGCUCCAAUCUUCAUGACUCACCUCAGACCACUGUGAGAAUAUAUACUGUCUGCAGGCCAACCGCAUGAUGCUCAGGGUGAUGAAUAUAGGAGCUACUUCCAGAAACAAGGUGACUGACACUUUGUUGUGUGUCUGGUGCCUAAAUACUGCGCUGAUGGCUACUGUAGAAAUGGAGAAAGACAGCCCAGAGAUUGGGGUUCUGCACUGGACAGGGAUACUCACGUGGUUCAGAACUUUAGCUGACCAAUCAGGUUUCUCCUUUUACCCAGAGUGGAGAUCUGCUUUCUGUGUGGCUGACCCGUGCAAACUUGCUUUGCAGAGCUGUCUAUUCUCUGGUGCUCUGAAAUAAAUUACUAAAUGUAAACAAUGCGCAAUAAACCAGGUCCUUCACGGCACAGACCCUUUGCCACCUGGGAUCCACCCUGUGCUAAACCUUUUCAUGGUCGGCAGCCUACAGCGUGAUUUUUUUCCCCUCUCCCGGGGCGGGAUUAGGACCUUUUCCGACCAGGACAGUAGAGAGAGCUGGCAUCACUCCAGCAUGGACACCGCCAUGACACAGUCCUUUCCUGGAAGAUGAAUGGCCGGCCAGUUUUCUUAAUCCAGCCACUUUGGAAAAAUUGUUUGUUCUCAUCCUGUUUGAAACGGCUUCAAAGUGGCUCCAGUCUAGACUGUGCCAAGAUAAAUUACAAACCCAAAGAGCUGAUAUAAACCACAGGGGGAGCGAGUCAUUUGC